rnacentral:lncRNA from 1 species
CUUUGGUUCCUUCAAACAAUCUCAGCAAGUGUGAAUAAUUGACAGGUUGAUCCACUUUAGUAUCUUUACUACUAUCUGCAAUCAGUAAGUCUAGAAUGGUGCUAAAGAGUGAUUAGAUAACAAGCAAAAAUCUAAUAAGUUCAUUAUCCCCUUCUUGACUCAAUAAAACUAAAACUCUUUUGAAAACAUUUUGAUAAGACUCAUGAACACACUAAUAUCGGUAAACAUCCCCCCAGACUUAAACUACAUUGUCCCCAGUGUAUAUUCAUUUUCCUCAGGGUCGAUCGUUGGAUCUGAAGUGAUGUCGAUCGAUAUCGAGCUGGUCGCAAUCCUUAAUGGUUGUACCCACCAAGUCAUAUUCGGAUUUCACCUAACUAACACCUAUUCCUUUUUUUAUUUUUUUGAAAAUAAGUAUCUCUACCUAUAAAUCUAGGGUCGAAAUAGAGACCGAAAAGGUGAUAAAUCUACACAAGGCUUUACCUUCCAGACUUGUUUGAAGAAUCCGAUCCCAUGUAUACCAAGCCCAAGACAAGCAGUUGUGUCAGGUUUAGUGUUGGAGGUCAGCUUUGGUUCCUUCAAACAAUCUCAGCAAGUGUGAAUAAUUGACAGGUUGAUCCACUUUAGUAUCUUUACUACUAUCUGCAAUCAGUAAGUCUAGAAUGGUGCUAAAGAGUGAUUAGAUAACAAGCAAAAAUCUAAUAAGUUCAUUAUCCCCUUCUUGACUCAAUAAAACUAAAACUCUUUUGAAAACAUUUUGAUAAGACUCAUGAACACACUAAUAUCGGUAAACAUCCCCCCAGACUUAAACUACAUUGUCCCCAGUGUAUAUUCA